rnacentral:rRNA from 1 species
CCAAGCGAAAGCGAUAAGCCAUCCACCUGGGGAGUACGACCGCAAAGGUUGAAACUCAAAGGAAUUGACGGGGCCCGCACAAGCGGAGGAACAUGUGUUUAAUUCGAUGAUACGCGAGGAACCUUACCCGGGCUCGAACGCCAGACGAACGACACAGAGAUGUGAAGUUCCUUCGGGACGUCUGUCGAGGUGCUGCAUGUUGUCGUCAGCUCGUGCCGUGAGGUGUCGGCUCAAGUGCCAUAACGAGCGCAACCCUUGCCGUCAGUUGCCAUCAGGUGAAGCUGGGGACUCUGGCGGGACUGCCACCGCAAGGUGUGAGGAGGGGGGGGAUGACGUCAAAUCAGCACGGCCCUUACGUCCGGGGCGACACACGUGUUACAAUGGCGGCCACAGAGGGAGGCUACCCCGCGAGGGGAUGCGGAUCUCGAAAAGCCGUCCCAGUUCGGAUCGGAGUCUGCAACCCGACUCCGUGAAGUUGGAUUCGCUAGUAAUCGCGCAUCAGCCAUGGCGCGGUGAAUACGUUCCCGGGCCUUGUACACACCGCCCGUCAAGCCAUGGAAGCCGCGGGCGCCUGAAGUCCGUGACCGAGAGGAGCGGCCUAGGGCGAAAGUGGUAACUGGGGCU